rnacentral:tRNA from 1 species
GGAAGUGUGGCCGAGCGGUUGAAGGCACCGGUCUUGAAAACCGGCGACCCGAAAGGGUUCCAGAGUUCGAAUCUCGGCGCUUCCGCCA